UACGUAGGUGGCAAGCGUUGUCCGGAUUUAUUGGGUUUAAAGGGUGCGUAGGCGGCCCCAUAAGUCAGUGCUGAAAUAUCCCGGCUUAACCGGGAGGGUGGCAUUGAUACUGUGGGGCUUGAGUAAGGUUGAGGUUGGCGGAAUUGACGGUGUAGCGGUGAAAUGCUUAGAUAUCGUCAAGAACACCGAUAGUGUAGACAGCUAACUAAGCUUUAACUGACGCUGAGGCACGAAAGCGUGGGGAGCGAACAGG
rnacentral:rRNA from 1 species